ensembl:lncRNA
GAUCAGCUACGUGCUCUGUUCCUUAGUCUACUGAAUUAUUACAGUACAGCAUAAAUCAGUUAAGAUUUCUAAAUAUUUAUUUCAAGGAAAUGCAAAGGGAUCUUCUCCAAUUGGCGAUAUUCUGUUGCAGAGGCAGGUAAUUCCUACAGGAUCAGGAGCCAGGAACUCCCUGACUGUUGCAUACCUUAAUACUUCUUUAUGUUUUAAAAUCCUAAUGAGUUAGCCUUCAUACCCUGAACUUAAAAAUGAAAGGGAAAAUUAAAAAUGAAGGGAAAAUAUAUCCAUCACUGUGAGAUGAACAAACAAGCAUUUUUCAGAGAGAGAGACUAACUCUUGUGGGUUUCAUGGAGCUAUUAUUGUUAAUUACAUUAAUUACAGCAAUGACUAGAAAUCCCUGAGAAAGGGACCCUCCUAUUCAAGCAGACUACUUAGUAGGGCUUACGAUUUACAUAGGUAAGACAGAUGCUAGGUGGAAGAAAGGCUAGAACACACUUGUGGGGCUUACUACCCUGAGAAAUAAAUAAUACAUUCAUUCAUAGUAUCUUUAUUUUCAUUAACUUGGAAAUAGAUGUAUUUAUUGUAAUACAGUAUGGGUUAAAAUUGUGGAAUGAAAUCUAUGGUUUGCUAUUCUAUAAAAUCCAGAUUAAAUUUUUAUUGUUGUUUUAUGACAAUACAGUUACUACCUGUUAUAUGAUAGAAAGGUUCUGCUGCUUUCUACAGACACUGUCAACUAAGACAGAGAUGAUCUACUCUGAACAAAUCAUAAGGUUUUUAAACCUAUCUUUAAAGGAAGCAGGACUGGGAAAACACAGCAAGGACAUCUUAUGCCCAUAUUUCCUCGUGUGCAAAUCCUUUAGCAUUUUUUCACAAGGAGAGCCACUGCUGUUCAGGGCAGUAUGCUUUUUAUUGAGGGUGUGAAGCAACUGCCUUUGAAGGAAGUGGAAAGAUUCCCAUGGACUUGAGUGGAAAAUGGAUCAAAACAACUAUGAGGAACUAAUCAACACUGGACAUAUGCACGUUUAUCAUAUUACAGUUUGUUCAUGUCUAAGUAAAUGGAGUACCACCAAACUUGCAAAUUAAUCUUUUCCCAAACGUUUUCCCACUUCUCAUAUAUUGUCUGUAUAUAUUGAUAGUAUGUAUAAGUAAAUCAGUGGUGACAUUAGACAUGUGCAGUCAGUGUAUGAAGCUCCACACUUAAUUUGGUUUCAUGCUGGUUGACUUUUCAUGUGAACUAACAUGUCUGAUGGCCCUAUGGGUAACAAUUUGUGCCACUUUACUAUGUCUGGAUUCUAUGUGAAAUAGUUUUAACAUUCAGCUUAUACAAGAAAAUGGCAAGAUGACUAUAGGGGAUUGAAUCACAGUCUAAGAUGAUGUGGAGAUGAUGCACGCAUGAAUAGAAGAUGAUGCAAUAUUUUACCAGCCUUCUGAUUUCUGAAAGCUUCCAGUGACAGCUAUCAAGUUCAAAGUGGAAAUCUGGUGAAAUUUUGAUCGACUGUGACACCUGAAGAGACAUGAUCAUGUCAGGAACUAGCUGGAUUGCUUUUAUUAUCACUUCAUAUCUCUGUAUCUUGCACUUUUUUCUCUCUCUGCUUUUGUAUACUUGUUUUUAAGUGUGAGGUCUAGUGAAAUGCUGUUAAUGUGGAAAGAUGUUAUUUAAAACAAUGUAUUUUGAAGGCAGACCUCUAAUGUCUUGUUUAAUUUUGAAGAGGCUAGAUUGCACUUGUUGAGGUAAGCAUAAGGCUGUAGGAAGAUUAGCUUUUGGCUCAUUUGGCUAAAACAUUGCCUCAAAUUUGAAGUCUUCUGUAAUGUUCUUUUUCCCUCCCUCUUACCCUUUUUUAGGUAGUAUAUAUAUAUAUUUAUAUGAACGAUAUCCAUAUCAGAGAAAUAAACAAGUCCAGGGGACAAAUUUGAGAACUGGC